UCGCUACUACCGAUUGAAUGAUUUAGUGAGUUACAGGGACUGUUGCCUUAGGUUGGUUCGCCUUCCUCUGGCCUCCAGGAACUGUCGCAAACUUGACCAUUUAGAGGAAGUAA
rnacentral:rRNA from 1 species